GCACUGCUGAGGAGUCCCAUACUUGGACGAAACGGUCGUCCAGUGC
rnacentral:hammerhead_ribozyme from 1 species